rnacentral:tRNA from 1 species
GCGGCCGUGGUCCAGCUGGUUCAAGACGCCGGCCCGCCACGCUGGCGACGGGGGUUCAAAUCCUUCGGCCCUA